GUUACGCUGGCGGCGUGCCUAACACAUGCAAGUCGAACGGUUCUAAGCGCGAGCUUAGGAUAGUGGCGAACGGGUGAGUAAAAGGUAGGAAUCUACCCCUUGGACGGAGAUAGCUACUGGAAACGGUAGGUAAACUUCGAUAAGCCCGAGAGGGGAAAGUGGUGAGACAGCCGAGGGAUGAGCCUACUCUCCAUCAGGUAGUUGGUGAGAUAAAAGCUUACCAAGCCGAUGACGGAUAACCGGUGUGAGAGCAUGAACGGUCACAAGGGCACUGAGAGACGGGCCCUACUCCUACGGGAGGCAGCAGUGGGGAAUCUUGGACAAUGGGCGAAAGCCUGAUCCAGCGACGCCGCGUGGAGGAAGAAGUCCUUCGGGAUGUAAACUUCUGAACUAGCCGAAUAAAAGGCCUGUGGACACACAGGAGAAGAAAGUAGGCUAGGAAAAGUCCCGGCUAACUACGUG
rnacentral:rRNA from 1 species